UUAAGCGACUAAGCGUACACGGUGGAUGCCCUGGCAGUCAGAGGCGAUGAAGGGCGUGCUAAUCUGCGAUAAGCGUCGGUAAGGUGAUAUGAACCGUUAUAACCGGCGAUACCCGAAUGGGGAAACCCAGUGUGACUCGUCACACUAUCAUUAACUGAAUCCAUAGGUUAAUGAGGCGAACCGGGGGAACUGAAACAUCUAAGUACCCCGAGGAAAAGAAAUCAACCGAGAUUCCCCCAGUAGCGGCGAGCGAACGGGGAGGAGCCCAGAGCCUGAAUCAGCAUGUGUGUUAGUGGAAGCGUCUGGAAAGGCGCGCGAUACAGGGUGACAGCCCCGUACACAAAAGCGCAUGUGCUGUGAGCUCGAUGAGUAGGGCGGGACACGUGGUAUCCUGUCUGAAUAUGGGGGGACCAUCCUCCAAGGCUAAAUACUCCUGACUGACCGAUAGUGAACCAGUACCGUGAGGGAAAGGCGAAAAGAACCCCGGCGAGGGGAGUGAAAAAGAACCUGAAACCGUGUACGUACAAGCAGUGGGAGCACAGGUUUACCUGUGUGACUGCGUACCUUUUGUAUAAUGGGUCAGCGACUUAUAUUCUGUAGCAAGGUUAACCGAAUAGGGGAGCCGGAGGGAAACCGAGUCUUAAUUGGGCGUUAAGUUGCAGGGUAUAGACCCGAAACCCGGUGAUCUAGCCAUGGGCAGGUUGAAGGUUGGGUAACACUAACUGGAGGACCGAACCGACUAAUGUUGAAAAAUUAGCGGAUGACCUGUGGCUGGGGGUGAAAGGCCAAUCAAACCGGGAGAUAGCUGGUUCUCCCCGAAAGCUAUUUAGGUAGCGCCUCGUGAAUUCAUCUCCGGGGGUAGAGCACUGUUUCGGCUAGGGGGCCAUCCCGGCUUACCAACCCGAUGCAAACUGCGAAUACCGGAGAAUGUUAUCACGGGAGACACACGGCGGGUGCUAACGUCCGUCGUGAAGAGGGAAACAACCCAGACCGCCAGCUAAGGUCCCAAAGUCAUGGUUAAGUGGGAAACGAUGUGGGAAGGCCCAGACAGCCAGGAUGUUGGCUUAGAAGCAGCCAUCAUUUAAAGAAAGCGUAAUAGCUCACUGGUCGAGUCGGCCUGCGCGGAAGAUGUAACGGGGCUAAACCAUGCACCGAAGCUGCGGCAGCGACGCUUAUGCGUUGUUGGGUAGGGGAGCGUUCUGUAAGCCUGUGAAGGUGGCCUGUGAGGGUUGCUGGAGGUAUCAGAAGUGCGAAUGCUGACAUAAGUAACGAUAAAGCGGGUGAAAAGCCCGCUCGCCGGAAGACCAAGGGUUCCUGUCCAACGUUAAUCGGGGCAGGGUGAGUCGACCCCUAAGGCGAGGCCGAAAGGCGUAGUCGAUGGGAAACGGGUUAAUAUUCCCGUACUUGGUGUUACUGCGAAGGGGGGACGGAGAAGGCUAUGUUGGCCGGGCGACGGUUGUCCCGGUUUAAGCGUGUAGGUGUGUGUUCCAGGUAAAUCCGGUUCACUUUAACACUGAGGCGUGACGACGAGGCACUACGGUGCUGAAGCAACAAAUGCCCUGCUUCCAGGAAAAGCCUCUAAGCAUCAGGUAACAUCAAAUCGUACCCCAAACCGACACAGGUGGUCAGGUAGAGAAUACCAAGGCGCUUGAGAGAACUCGGGUGAAGGAACUAGGCAAAAUGGUGCCGUAACUUCGGGAGAAGGCACGCUGACACGUAGGUGAAGUGAUUUACUCACGGAGCUGAAGUCAGUCGAAGAUACCAGCUGGCUGCAACUGUUUAUUAAAAACACAGCACUGUGCAAACACGAAAGUGGACGUAUACGGUGUGACGCCUGCCCGGUGCCGGAAGGUUAAUUGAUGGGGUCAGCGCAAGCGAAGCUCCUGAUCGAAGCCCCGGUAAACGGCGGCCGUAACUAUAACGGUCCUAAGGUAGCGAAAUUCCUUGUCGGGUAAGUUCCGACCUGCACGAAUGGCGUAAUGAUGGCCAGGCUGUCUCCACCCGAGACUCAGUGAAAUUGAACUCGCUGUGAAGAUGCAGUGUACCCGCGGCAAGACGGAAAGACCCCGUGAACCUUUACUAUAGCUUGACACUGAACAUUGAGCCUUGAUGUGUAGGAUAGGUGGGAGGCUUUGAAGUGUGGACGCCAGUCUGCAUGGAGCCGACCUUGAAAUACCACCCUUUAAUGUUUGAUGUUCUAACGUGGACCCGUAAUCCGGGUUGCGGACAGUGUCUGGUGGGUAGUUUGACUGGGGCGGUCUCCUCCUAAAGAGUAACGGAGGAGCACGAAGGUUGGCUAAUCCUGGUCGGACAUCAGGAGGUUAGUGCAAUGGCAUAAGCCAGCUUGACUGCGAGCGUGACGGCGCGAGCAGGUGCGAAAGCAGGUCAUAGUGAUCCGGUGGUUCUGAAUGGAAGGGCCAUCGCUCAACGGAUAAAAGGUACUCCGGGGAUAACAGGCUGAUACCGCCCAAGAGUUCAUAUCGACGGCGGUGUUUGGCACCUCGAUGUCGGCUCAUCACAUCCUGGGGCUGAAGUAGGUCCCAAGGGUAUGGCUGUUCGCCAUUUAAAGUGGUACGCGAGCUGGGUUUAGAACGUCGUGAGACAGUUCGGUCCCUAUCUGCCGUGGGCGCUGGAGAACUGAGGGGGCUGCUCCUAGUACGAGAGGACCGGAGUGGACGCAUCACUGGUGUUCGGGUUGUCAUGCCAAUGGCACUGCCCGGUAGCUAAAUGCGGAAGAGAUAAGUGCUGAAAGCAUCUAAGCACGAAACUUGCCCCGAGAUGAGUUCUCCCUGAGACUUAGAGUCUCCUGAAGGAACGUUGAAGACGACGACGUUGAUAGGCCGGGUGUGUAAGCGCAGCGAUGCGUUGAGCUAACCGGUACUAAUGAACCGUGAGGCUUAACCUU
rnacentral:rRNA from 1 species